GACGAACGCUGGCGGCGUGCUUAACACAUGCAAGUCGAACGGAAAGGCCUGCAGCUUGCUGCGGGUACUCGAGUGGCGAACGGGUGAGUAACACGUGGGUGAUCUGCCUUGCACCUCGGGAUAAGCUUGGGAAACUGGGUCUAAUACCGGAUAGGACAGCUGUUUAGUGUCAGUUGUGGAAAGUUUUUUCGGUGCAAGAUGAGCUCGCGGCCUAUCAGCUUGUUGGUGGGGUAAUGGCCUACCAAGGCGUCGACGGGUAGCCGGCCUGAGAGGGUGUACGGCCACAUUGGGACUGAGAUACGGCCCAGACUCCUACGGGAGGCAGCAGUGGGGAAUAUUGCACAAUGGGCGGAAGCCUGAUGCAGCGACGCCGCGUGGGGGAUGAAGGCCUUCGGGUUGUAAACUCCUUUCGACAGGGACGAAGCGUAAGUGACGGUACCUGUAUAAGAAGCACCGGCUAACUACGUGCCGGCAGCCGCGGUAAUACGUAGGGUGCGAGCGUUGUCCGGAAUUACUGGGCGUAAAGAGCUCGUAGGUGGUUUGUCGCGUCGUCUGUGAAAUUCCGGGGCUUAACUCCGGGCGUGCAGGCGAUACGGGCUGACUUGAGUGCUGUAGGGGAGACUGGAAUUCCUGGUGUAGCGGUGAAAUGCGCAGAUAUCAGGAGGAACACCGAUGGCGAAGGCAGGUCUCUGGGCAGUAACUGACGCUGAGGAGCGAAAGCAUGGGUAGCGAACAGG
rnacentral:rRNA from 1 species